AAAUGAAUAGACGGGGGCCCGCACAAGCGGUGGAGCAUGUGGUUCAAUUCGACGCAACGCGAAGAACCUUACCUGGGCUCGAACGGCUUAUGCCCGGGGUAGAAAUACCCCUUUCCCGCAAGGGACGUGAGUCGAGGUGCUGCAUGGCUGUCGUCAGCUCGUGUCGUGAGAUGUUGGGUUAAGUCCCGCAACGAGCGCAACCCUUGCCCUGUGUUGCCAUGCCGAAAGGCGGAACUCGCAGGGGACCGCGAGCGAUAAGCUUGAGGAAGAUGGGGAUGACGUCAAGUCAUCAUGGCCUUUAUGUCCAGGGCUACACACGUGCUACAAUGGACGGUACAGACCGCUGCAAACCCGCGAGGGGGAGCUAAUCGGAAAAAACCGUUCUCAGUUCGGAUCGCAGGCUGCAACUCGCCUGCGUGAAGCUGGAAUCGCUAGUAAUGGCGCAUCAGCAUGGCGCCGUGAAUACGUUCCCGGGCCUUGUACACACCGCCCGU
rnacentral:rRNA from 1 species